ACACGCACGCACACUCUGGACGCGCGCUGGCUGACUGGGCGUCGGCGUCGCCACCAACCGCCGCUAUAAUAAACACACGCACGGCAGGCAGGCAGGCAGGCUCCAUCAGUACAGAUCCACCGCCACCACCACCACCAAGCACUCCAGUCCCGCAGCAGCAUGGCCGGCAGCGCGUCCCGCCUCGCCAUCCUCUUGGUGCUCCUGGCGGCGUCACCGCUGCUUGGCGCGACGCAGAAGGCCGCGCCAGGGCCGGCGUCGUCGUCGGGCUCGGGCGCGGGCGCGGCGGACGCGGCGCCGCCGACGGACGUGAACAAGGCGCUGAAGGACGAGCAGUUCAGCGAGUUCCGGCAGCUGCUGCACGACACGCGCGUGGACACGCAGAUCAACGCGCAGCUGACGGACAGCUACAACGGGCUGACCAUCAUGGCGCCCACCAACGCCGCCUUCGACAAGAUGAAGGCGGGCGUGCUGAACGGGCUGUCGCCGCAGGAGCAGAUCCAGAUGGUGCUCUACUGCGUGCUGCCCCGGUUCUACAGCCUGUCCAUGCUCGGCACCCUCAGCGGCAAGGUCAACACGCAGGGGUCCGGCCACGACGGGCCCUACAGGUACGACAUCAAGCGGUCGGGGAACAACGUCAACGUGUCCACGGGGGUGAACUGGAUGCUGCUGGGCAGCCCCGUCAGCAAGGACUUCCCGCUCGCCAUCUACCCCGUCGACAAGGUGCCGCUCCCCUACGAGCUGUUCGGGCCCAAGCCGCCCACGCCGGCGCCCGCGCCGGCACCCGCGCCCGGGCCGGCCAAGGCCAAGACCAAGAAGAAGAAGAAGUCCGCCGCCAUCGCCGAGCCGCCCACGGCCGACGACGACGACACCGGCUCCACCUCCGACGACCAGAAGGCUGCCGCCGCGCCGCCACGCGCCAGCAGGGCGGCCGCCGCGCUCUCCGUGCUCGGCGCCGCUGUUCUCGUCGGCGGCCUCUUCUGAUGGGAAGAGGAUCGGAUCGGAGGAGGAUAGAAUGAAUGCACCGUCAUUCAGACCAAGAUCACACGGCGUGUGUGCGUUUGGCCAUCGGCUUUAUUCUUUCUUCUCUCUUCUCUUGGGGGAUUUUCUCUCUCUCUCUCUCUCUCGGUGAUUUGUAUUUGUAACUUAAUGUGAUAUACAUUAGCAGUGGUUGUUCUUCUUUCAUUUGAUCUUGGCCUCCGUGAUCUCAUCUGCUUCUGUUUGGACGAAGCGUAGCUGGUUGCUGUCGCUUGUGUUUUAAGCAUUUUCUUUGCAGUGGAAAGGAAACAGGGAAGCGCAGACAGUGUCC
rnacentral:misc_RNA from 1 species